rnacentral:lncRNA from 1 species
CAGGAUUCAGUUAUUCGUGGGUGCGAGGGGGACCACAAACCUGGAAGGAAAUGGGAGGAAGAAAAAGAGAAACAGGAGACCAAGAAGAUGGUACCUAUCAAGGAAUUUUCCAGUACCUGUAAUUUCUCCAUUCUUGACUCUGCCUUAAAUUCAACUAGACAGCUGGCUUUUAAGACCGACUUGAGUAUUCUGGGAUUACAGUCAAAUAUUACAACACCAGGUUUAUUUGGUUCCAGCAUUCAAAUUCAGAGAUUUCCCCAGGCUGGACAACUGCUAAAUCAACUGAACUACUAUAUCUCUAGCUAAAGAAUGUGGUUUUUCUCUGAUCCAGGAGUAGUGUGGCCCAACUCUACUCCUAUCUACUUAAAAGACAACACAGGAGGCCUGCACAUUUGAGGUCACCUUGACAACACUGAAACCUCUUCUUCCCAUCUCAACAAUAAAAAGGUGGUGAAUAUCUUCAGAUACACAUCAAAUAUGCCUUUCUGAAGGUUUCAUCUACAGCAUCUCCCAAAUACCAUUAUAUAUUUAUUGUUUCUGGAGUAUUAUUUUACCUUUAUUAUCUCACAACUUCUAUAGAAGAUUUCCAAGGAAUAGAAAUGACCUGCUCUUGGCAAGUAAUUGCCCAAAAUGUUCAAUACUU